CCUACGGGAGGCUGCAGUGAGGAAUAUUGGUCAAUGGCCGUAAGGCUGAACCAGCCAAGUCGCGUGAAGGAAGAAGGAUCUAUGGUUUGUAAACUUCUUUUAUAGGGGAAUAAAGGUAUCCACGUGUGGAUAUUUGCAUGUACCCUAUGAAUAAGCAUCGGCUAACUUCGUGCCAGCAGCCGCGGUAAUACGGAGGAUGCGAGCGUUAUCCGGAUUUAUUGGGUUUAAAGGGUGCGUAGGUUGUUUUUUAAGUCAGCGGUGAAAGUUUGUGGCUCAACCAUAGAAUUGCCGUUGAAACUGGAAGACUUGAGUGUGUUUGAGGUAGGCAGAAUGCGUGGUGUAGCGGUGAAAUGCAUAGAUAUCACGCAGAACUCCGAUAGCGAAGGCAGCUUACUAAGCCAUAACUGACGCUGAAGCACGAAAGCGUGGGGAGCAAACAGGAUUAGAUACCCGAGUAGUC
rnacentral:rRNA from 1 species